CAUCUAUCAAUGAAAUUUUGACAUUUUCUGCACCUUUUGUUAUGUCACUUAUCCUUUUGAAGGACCCCUUCUCAUCAUAAGUAGUUCUUUGCAGUUGCUUGUUUACCAAAUUAUGAGAANAACCUUAAGGGUUUUGUAAUCUUCUCUUUCAGAACCAUAUUAUGAUUACCAGUUAUUAACGCCCUUCUGUUUGACCCUAUACUAUUAAGGGAAUUGCCAACUUUCCU
rnacentral:misc_RNA from 1 species